UUAGCAUUUUUAGUUUAAUCCACAUUGUUUAAGAAAAUAAAGGAGGCCCAAAUAGAGAAUGUCAUCAGAAAGUGAUCAGAGAUAUGCAAUGAUGGAUGAAAAGAAGAGGAAAAGAAUGAUUUCCAAUAGGGAAUCUGCGAGGAGGUCAAGGAUGAGGAAGCAAAAGCAAUUGCAGGAUUUGACAGAUGAAAUGGGCAGCUUGGAGGUGGCAAACAAUGGCAUUGAGGGCAAGAUUGAUGGGAUUACAGAGAAAUAUAUGAUUUGUGCAGCUGAGAAUAAUGUCUUGAGAGCUCGGCUAACUGAAUUGACUGAGAGAUUAAGAUCAUUGAAUGAUGUGAUCAAGAAUUUGGAAAUGGUUGGGGAUGCUACUCAAUUGCCUGAUCCUCUGCUGAAGCCUUGGCAGGUUUCUUGCUCAAUGCAGCCUAUCCCUGCUUCUUCAGGAAUAUUUCAGCUCUGAAAUGAUGGUGACCUUAAUGGGCUUCCUCCCUUGCAGUAAAUAGCCUUUUGGACAUUCG
rnacentral:lncRNA from 1 species